UGCUAUCCCCACAGUGCUUUUUGGUCUUGGCAUCUUUCAUCUGAUCAUCUGUUGUUUUAUGGGCAAGAUGCAAUGUAUUUUAUUUCGUGUAUUCAAAGUUGAUUUUGUUUAUUGUUGAAAUGACAUCCUCAAUUGAUAAGCCUAGACUACAUGGAAGUGUUUUCAUUAGGUGGCCGCCCAAGUGUGAUAAAAUCCUAGACUUUCACUUUCAAAGCUUAAGUGAUCUUGAUUAGAUAGAGACGGGGGUCUGAAAAAAAUCAGGUUCUAAUGCCUUAAGGGUGAAAGGGCACCACUGGAGGUUUUUGGGGCAACCCUUGUAUAUUUCAAAAACCCUUUUAAGAAUGAUGAAUUUCGCCUGGAACCUUUGCAAAACCAACAGUGGAAAAGCUAAGGCUUGAGAAAUCAUUAGGUUUGGGCUGGUCUUUGAUUAGCAUAGAGUUGUGAUUUUUUUUUUGUUUUACCUUUUUAGGACUUUUGGGACACUAAUUGCACAUUACAUGGUGGUGUUUGCCUUUGUUGUGGUUUUCAUAUGGGGAGAGAAGAGGGUUCUCCUUAGAAAUAGACUUCACAUGUAUAUGCUGGUUUUGUUUUUGAUGUGGGAUUUAAUUCACUUUGUGUGCUGUUAAGUUGUAAGCUAUUGUGUAUAGGAAAGAAAAAGGUUAUCUGGUAAAAGGAUGAGAUCUGCUCCUUUUAGUUUGUUGCUAAAGAUAUGCAUGUCUUGUGUAGAGCAUGUAGGGGGGUUUUGGCAACACAAAGAUAUGGUGAAGCACAAGGUUAUUAAACUCGUGAGUUAACUCGUAAAAUCUAACGAUUUACGAGUUAACUUGUAUAUACCAUGUACAAUCAGACCCCUUGUUGCAGAUUUCUUGAAAAGGAAUAUACUCAAAUAUCAAUAAAGAAGGAAAGACAGAAGAAAAACACCUUGGAGGUCUAGAGAAGAUCACCGGAAGCAACACGGUUCCAGUUACGAGAGACAACAAUGCAUCAUGCCACCCUGUGUGCAUCAAGUCCCUACUAAGCACAUCCAAUGGGUCUUCACAAAGGGGAAGGCCUCCUUCCUCUCUCAUCUUCUUUCUUUGCUUUCCUUUCCCAUUCCUUUCCCAUCGUCUCCAUUGCUAAAGCCAAUCCCUCAUCCAUAUCCUUACUGUGGUUCUCCUGAAAUUCUUGAUUGUUGGUCUGUGCCAUCGAAGUGGAAGAAGAAAAAGGAGGAGGAAUGCGAAUCAUAUUUGAAUUUUUCCUUUUUAGUAAAGUUUUAUGUUUUCUUUGCUGUUGUGUUGUGAGAGUGGGAUUCUGCCCAAUCUCACUGAUUUACAUUGCUUUGUGAAUAAAAAUAUCAAUUAGGAAGGAAAGACAAAAGAAAAACACUAUGGAUUGACUUUGUGAUUAAAGUCAUAGAAAUUGAUCCUUAAUUAUUUUUUAAGUUUUAAUUAAUUAUUUUGAAUUGUUUUAAUGUAUUGAUGUUAAAAAUAAAUUUUUAAAAAAUAAAAAAUAUUAUUUUAAUACAUUUCAAAGUUAAAAACAUUUUAAAAAAUAAUAUUUAUCAUAUUAUUAAACAAUUGCUAAACCCCACACUAAGUUAUUAUUUACUACUUGAUUGAAAUUGUUAAUAUAUAAUUAAUUAAAAUAUUUUACUUAUGAUUUUACGAUUUUAUGAUUCGAGUUUACGAUUCGAGUUUAUGUUGUAUAUUCUGUGUCAU